CCAAUAGCGUAUAUUAAAGUUGUUGCAGUUAAAAAGCUCGUAGUUGAAUUUCGGGGUUAGUAGGUUGGUCAUGCCUCUGGUAUGUACUGGUCUCACUGAUUCCUCCUUCCUGACGAACCUUAAUGCCAUUAAUUUGGUGUUUUGGGAAAUUUGGACUGUUACUUUGAAAAAAUUAGAGUGUUUAAAGCAAGCUAACGCUUGAAUACAUUAGCAUGGAAUAAUGAAAUAGGACGUUCGAUCCUAUUUUGUUGGUUUCUAGGAUUGACGUAAUGAUUAAUAGGGAUAGUUGGGGGCAUUAGUAUUCAAUUGUCAGAGGUGAAAUUCUUGGAUUUAUUGAAGACUAACUACUGUGAAAGCAUUUGCCAAGGAUGUUUUCAUUAAUCAAGAACGAAAGUUAGGGGAUCGAAGACGAUCAGAUACCGUCGUAGUCUUAACCAUAAACUAUGCCGACUAGGGAUCGGAUGAUGUUAAUUUUUUAAUGACUCAUUCGGCGCCUUACG
rnacentral:rRNA from 1 species